GGAAGACUUCACUGAGGAGGUUCCGGGCCCUGCUUCCACCCUGCGCUUUCUUCUGCCUGGAAGAGCUGCACUUCUCUCCUCCUGCUGCUCAUGCUCAGCCUAAGGCCAGCUCCCCACUCACUGUCCCUCUGUGAUAAUCUCACGGUACCUGUCUGUCUGUCUACCCACCUACCUACUUACCUAUCUGUAUCUGGGAAGUGUCCACCUCUCCCACAGGGCCUAGAAUACAGCUGACACACGUGCCACCCCAGGGACCCCGCCCUGGUGAUCUUGUCGAACCCUAGUGACCUCCCAGAGGCUCCACCUUCAAAUACCAUCAGUGCACAAAUUUGAGGACUAGAUUUCUAACAACUGAAGUUUGGAUGACGCAUUCGAACUAUGACAGAGGCUAAAACAACUUAAGUAGUGAUCGAGGGAAAGACACAAACAGAAGCCCUUGGAGACGGGCAGACGGGGCAAGAGCUUAAAAAAAAUCUGGAAAGGAAACUGAGGAAGCAGAAAGGCAAAGACUUGACAAAUGAGAGGAACAAGAGGAUGAGUCAGAGGAUCAGAUGCGGGAGCAGCCACGGAGUGAGAUGCAGGCUGUGAGGGAAAAGACAGAGAGGGAGCGGAGGGAGGAGACGAAGACAAAAGCUGCGCCCGGCACCCCUGCCGGUCCUUUCCAGGGACACAGCUUCCUGGUGAGCUUCGCAAACUUGGAGAAACACCACGGACUCUUUUUUCAGUACCAGGGGCCAAACUCAGGACCUUGCAUUUGGGAGGCAGGCGCGGUACCACUGAGCUAGACCCCAGCCCAGCACCACCGGACUCUGACCGUCACUUUCCCUAUCCACUGUUCCCUUGCUGCAGUGGACACGGGCAGCAUUUUACAAUGCGGCCGACCCGUGGGGUGACCUAGGGUCCCCUUCCCCUCCUCCUCCUCCCUCCUCCUCCUCCUCCUCCUCCAGCUCCUAUUCCUUCUUCCCCUUCCCCUUCCCCUUCCCUUUCUCCCUCGCUGUGUCCCUCUCCCUCUCCUUUUCCUUCUUCGCCUUCUUCUUCUUUUUGAGCCAGGGUUUCUCCGUGUAGUUCAGGCUGGCCUUGAACUCACUGUGUAGCCCAGGCUGGCCUCAGACUUGUGGUAAUACUCCUGCCUCGGUCUCCCGAGGGCUGGCAUCACAAGCGCCCACCCCAUGCCCGCCUUCUGCUCCUUUAGGAAAUGUGAUGUCGUCGUUUCAGAACACCCACCCCAUGCUGACCAAGGAGCAAUCUACCCACCAGCACAAUGAAAAGCACUGCACAUCUUUCGGCUGCAGAUGCGAGGAUGAAGAAGGGAGCGAGUGAGGGAGGACAGGGAGGCUGGUGACUUAUACGCUCUCUAUAGAAUGAAUCUCCCUUGUUCUAAUACUGGGGACAAUCGAAAGCCGUCUGCUUUGAGCCAUUUAGCACAUACAGUAGGCUUAUAAAGGACCACUCAGGUCCGGGGAGCUGAACUCAGGUUACUUACAUCAGACUUGCAGAAGUGUCACCAUUGUGCCAGGCUUCAGGAGUGCCCUUGAGAGCACAGUGUCCUAGGGAGGGAGCUGCCAGCUGAACCCAGCAGAGCCCAGCCAUCUAACAUUCAGGGCCUGGUGAGGGAAGGCCUGCGCGUGUCAGGUCAUUGUCCACACUCAGCUCCCAUCCCAUAUGGAUCAGGGAGUUGGAUUCUGCCCCAGACUUCUGUGAGAGGUGUGUGCUAACACUUAGCUCCAGGCCUGCGUGAAAUAGGCUUCGUCCUUCUCCCAUAGUUUUCUAUGCAUAGCUACCCAAUGGCAUUAUCUAUAAAGGUGAGAUCAGAACAUUGUAGAUCCUGAGGUGGAAGCCUCUCCACAUGGGCUUCUGCAGCCCUGUGUCCUAACCCAGGCUUGAGGUAGACAACGGUGGAGCCAGCAGCAAAGACGCCCCAGGGUCUCUGUGCCCCUGAGUCCUAGCCCUCACCUGGACACACCCACGGAAGCUGGGCUUGGAGCCAGUCUCCUGACCGGUC
ensembl:lncRNA